UACGGAGGGGGCUAGCGUUGUUCGGAAUUACUGGGCGUAAAGCGCACGUAGGCGGCUUUGUAAGUUAGAGGUGAAAGCCCAGGGCUCAACCCUGGAAUUGCCUUUAAGACUGCAUCGCUAGAAUUGUGCAGAGGUAAGUGGAAUUCCGAGUGUAGAGGUGAAAUUCGUAGAUAUUCGGAAGAACACCAGUGGCGAAGGCGACUUACUGGACACAUAUUGACGCUGAGGUGCGAAAGCGUGGGGAGCAAACAGG
rnacentral:rRNA from 1 species